rnacentral:misc_RNA from 1 species
GGACGGCGUGGGCAUGAGUGAACCAAACUUUAAACGGAGGGUAUUUCUAGACCUUUUCGAAUAAUUUAGGGCAUAUUUGACCCUUUAAAAAACUAGGAAUAAGAUAAAAGAUAUUUGAGUCAUUUGUGUAACAACUAGGAUACAUAAGGCAAUUUUAUAACGAGAAGUAUAUCAAAUUAUCAGUUUUAAAUGACAUAAUUGAGGGGUAUAUUAGGCUUUUU